rnacentral:rRNA from 1 species
GCAUAUCAAUAAGCGGAGGAAAAGAAACCAACAGGGGAUUGCCUUAGUAACGGCGAGUGAAGCGGCAACAGCUCAAAUUUGAAAGCUGGCUCCUUCGGAGUCCGCGUUGUAAUUUGUAGAGGAUGAUUCGGCGAGGGCUCCCGCCUAAGUCCCCUGGAACGGGGCGUCAUAGAGGGUGAGAAUCCCGUAUGCGGUGGGUUGCCUUAGCCAUGUGAAUCUCCUUCGACGAGUCGAGUUGUUUGGGAAUGCAGCUCUAAAUGGGAGGUAAAUUUCUUCUAAAGCUAAAUACCGGCCAGAGACCGAUAGCGCACAAGUAGAGUGAUCGAAAGAUGAAAAGCACUUUGGAAAGAGAGUUAAAAAGUACGUGAAAUUGUUGAAAGGGAAGCGCUUGCAGCCAGACUUGUCCGCAGUUGCUCAACCGGUCUCCUGACCGGUGUACUCUUCUGCGGCCAGGCCAGCAUCAGUUCGGGCGGUCGGAUAAAGGCCCUGGGAAUGUAGCUCCUCUCGGGGAGUGUUAUAGCCCAGGGUGGAAUGCGGCCAGCCUGGACUGAGGAUCUCGCUUCGGCUAGGAUGCUGGCGUAAUGGCUGUAAGCGGCCCGUCUUGAAACACGGACCAAGGAGUCUAACAUCUAUGCGAGUGUUUGGGUGUCAAACCCAUGCGCGUAAUGAAAGUGAACGGAGGUGGGAACCCUCACGGGUGCACCAUCGACCGAUCCUGAUGUCUUCGGAUGGAUUUGAGUAAGAGCAUAGCUGUUGGGACCCGAAAGAUGGUGAACUAUGCCUGAAUAGGGUGAAGCCAGAGGAAAACUCUGGUGGAGGCUCGCAGCGGUUCUGACGUGCAAAUCGAUACGUCAAAUUUGGGGUAUAGGGGCGAAAGACUAAUCGAACCAUCUAGUAGCUGGGUUCUGCUGA